GAGCACAUGAGUUAGGAGAAGUUUGUGGGUUUUGGAGACAGAGGAGUAGUAACAGCAGCUGUGACAUGCUUCUUGCACUACUUCCUGCUCUAACACACACACACACACACACAUAUAGACAAACUGUGACUUGAAGUAGGUGUGUGUUUUGCGUAAAGGGAACGUGCUUUCCUUUUAUUUAACGUGAAAAGGUGAUGCACGUGCAGUUCUGAUUGUUUACAGUCAUGCACCAGAGCCUUCAAGCACUGCUAUAUGAACAGAAGCAUCCUCCUGCCCCGUGUGAGCUGCACUACUGUCUCUCCUCCCUCAUGUUUGCAUGUCAGCGUUAUAUACGUUUACAUCCAGAGCGACUCACAUUUAUCUCAUUUAUACAACUGAGCAGUGGAGGGUUAAGGGCCUUGCUCAAGGGCCCAGCAGCGGCAGCUUGUUAGUGCUGGGAUUUGAACUCACAACCUUCUGAUCGGUAAGUACCAGACCAGUACCACCUAGCCCAUGUCGUUCAGCAGCAGCGGUACGUGACCGUAGCUUUUGGUGCUGCAAGAGGACAUUAAUAACGACAAACCCCCCCAAACACAAUGCUAUUGAGACGCUAUCACGCUUGCUAUAGGCGACUCUCUAGUGAAUUUUUUGAGUAACCUUGUAGAUGAGAACCAACAACAGUAACAGUCUCUGAAGGUUUUAGACGAACCCUCGUUCAACUGUUUUCGAGGUUAAUAUCAUAAACCCGGGUUCCCAGGUUUCAGCAACAUUUCCAGCCCAACUACAUCUCAAAAACCACACGAAAGACCUGAAACUCCACUGAUGAUCCCCUCCAUAAUCCCCCUUUCAUAAUCGCUCUACUAAACCUUUGCAAUGUAUCUUACAAUAGAAAUCGUUCUGUACAUCAUACAAACACACUGUCUGCACUUAAACUCUGCCUUUUUGGUGAAAUUUAUUACAUGUAAUUCCGAUUACUUGCUAUAAAACAAGAUCUUGGUGGACGAGGAGUGAUUUUAAACUAACCCAAUCUGGCAACCCUGUCAUUACCGGUCCUGAUGCUGCGUCUCCCCCGAGCAUGGGGCAGCGUGAUUCCUGCCCCUGUGGAGCUCAGAUUAGCGCUUGCUGCAGUUCCCACUUUCACCACUAGGUGUAAUAAGAACUGUAUGGAGGAGAAUGGGGCAUUGACGCUGCACCACGAUUACGCAUCUAUAAAGAAUAGCAAAUCAACACAACAUCGGCUUAUAUGUGUCACAUAGCGACACUUUCUGAAAUCGUUGUUCACUCCAAAGAUGUAAUUAGUAUUUCAAAAAGAAUUUAAAAUGUUGUGAAUGAGGACCGAAUGGCUGAACUCUGCAUCACCUGACCGCACAAUUUGUGCUACUUACUACUUACUUCCUUCCACACAGAAAUCCAUAGUGAGGUACCUCUGUAGCUUCAUUACACGUUACACAUACUGGGAUUUGUGUCUUGUAUAUGUAGCGUGAUUAGUGUUCUUCCAUCUUCCCUACGUAUAGUUUGUUGUGUGUUUCCUGUUGAGCAGUUCCAAAUGGCAAAAACUCCUGUACCUCACAAGUACUGACAAAUAAUCAAGAGAUUCUGCUUCUCAUAAGUGCAACCUUUGCACUUACAAAGAGAGAGAGAAAAGAGAGGCUGGCGAGGGAACGACUGUUUCUAGCUGCUAUAACCUCCUGACUCACCGCGUCCCACACGACGGCGGCCACGCCCCCUUUUCUCCAGUCCUGAGCCAAUCGGAUGCGGCGCUCGGCGAACCGGAACUCAGCGGAAGACGAGUGGAGUUUGGACAGAGAAGGCAGGAUGUUUUCA